CUGCAGUCAAUUAAGCUGACCUUGCUCCUCCCCUUGUGGGGGCCCAGCGUGCAAGACUGCAAACAGCAGCCUCCUCCAUAGUGUGCGCACACAGGCUUUUGCCUGCACGGGUCACCCUAACGGAUCUUGGAGACAAUC